UGUGGCAAUUCACAAAUUUAGAAGACUAUAAAAAGGUAGAAAAAUAAAUACAUCAAUAAAAUAGAAAAACAUGAAAGAAUAAAUAGAACUGCGAAUGAAGUGAAAAUGAAAGUAUAAAUUAGAUAUAUUUAAUAUCACAGCCCUGGGGGAAGGGAGUCAGGACUUAAGCAGACAGCCCGCUGACGUGCUGCUCAUUAGAGAGGAAACACUGCUCACAGAGCAUUCAGCCUGUCAGCACCUGAAGGAUCCAACUUACCAAGAAGUAAUCCGACUGAAUCAACGUAAGCCAUCAUGGGAAACAGGGCAAGUAUCCUGGAGGAGCGUGGCUACUACGAGGAUAAAGAAAUUGGCCAGGGAGCUUUUGGUAAAGUUUUCAGAGUGAAGAAAAAGGCAGAUGAAAAGGAAUAUGUCGUAAAGGCAGUCCAAAAAUCAGAAUCUGUGAUCCAUGAAGUGGCUGCACUUAAAGCGUUGAAACACCCAUUCAUUGUGGAGUACAACGACUCUUUUGAAGAUAUUAUGAAUCUGUACAUAGUUAUGGAGUAUUGCAAGGGUGGUGAUCUUUCUCAGAAAAUUAAAAACCAGAAAGAUACUGGUGGAUAUUUCACAGAAGAUCAGAUCCUGAGCUGGUUUGCAGAGAUCAGCAGUGCUGUGCAACAUGUGCACGAGAACAACAUUCUGCACAGGGACAUCAUGCCACAGGUACUGGCUGCAGGUUGUUAUGAUACCACAAUG